AUGUCAAGGGGGGUGGAUGACGCGAAAACCGAGCUCGAGGACAUUGUACUCUGCCUGCGGGAGCCCAAGCGUUUUGCACACCUCGGCGGCAAGCUUCCAAGUGGUGUCCUGCUAGUCGGCGGGCCUGGCGUGGGGAAGACAAUGCUGGCAAGGGGCAUGGACGGGGAAGCCGGCGUCCCGUUCUUCACGUGCAGAGGCAGCGAAUUUGAGGAGAAUCAUGUGGGUGCUGGGGCUAAAAGGGUGAGGGAGCUCUUCAGUACAACAAAGAAGCGAUCUCCUUGCAUAGUGUUCGUCGAUGAGAUUGAUGCCAUUGCUGUGAGUAGGAGCUCACAAGAUUCAAAGUCGCACAGACACACCGUUAAUCAGCUGCUCGUCGAGCUAGAUGGCUUGGAGCAGAAUGACAGGGUGAUCGUGGUGGCGGCAACCAACAACCUCGAGUCACUGGAUCAAGCCCUUGUUAGGUCUGGGCGUUUCGACCAUCACAUUCAGAUUCAUUAUCCAAAUGUUGAGGGCCGACGUCAGAUCCUCGAGGCUCAUAUGUCAAAGGUGUUGAAAACCAAGGACGUGGAUCUUCUGACCAUCGCGAAGAGGACAUCUGGGCUCUCAGGAGCAAGCCUGGCAAACUUGGUGAAAGACGCCGUUCUCAAGGCUGCCAAGGAGGCGGCAGAAGCUGUUGCGACGCAUCACCUGGAGUAUGCCACGGACAGGAUUCUAGUGGGCGGUGAGCGCAGAUCGGUGGGGAUGCCUGAUAACUGCAAGAGGAUGACCAUGUACCAUGAGGCAGGGCACGCCAUCGUUGCUAUCCACACGGAUGGCGCUGAUCCUGUCCACAAGGCUACCAUUGUUCCCAGGGUAAUUUUCUCGGCAUGGUGUGGCAGCUGCCGGAGGAGGACGAUGAGUUUAUAUAUUCAAAGAAGAAGAUGCUCGCAGGACUAG
rnacentral:rRNA from 1 species